rnacentral:rRNA from 1 species
GACGUAGGGCGCGAGCGUUGUCCGGAUUUAUUGGGCGUAAAGAGCUCGUAGGCGGUGUGUCGCGUCGGCCGUGAAAACCUGCAGCUUAACUGUGGGCUUGCGGUCGAUACGGGCAUCACUGGAGUUCGGCAAGGGAGACUGGAAUUCCUGGUGUAGCGGUGAAAUGCGCAGAUAUCAGGAGGAACACCGGUGGCGAAGGCGGGUCUCUGGGCCGAUACUGACGCUGAGGAGCGAAAGCGUGGGGAGCGAACAGG